ACACAUGCAGUCGAGCGGUAGCACAGAGAGCUUGCUCUCGGGUGACGAGCGGCGGACGGGUGAGUAAUGUCUGGGAAACUGCCUGAUGGAGGGGGAUAACUACUGGAAACGGUAGCUAAUACCGCAUAACGUCGCAAGACCAAAGUGGGGGACCUUCGGGCCUCAUGCCAUCAGAUGUGCCCAGAUGGGAUUAGCUGGUAGGUGGGGUAACGGCUCACCUAGGCGACGAUCCCUAGCUGGUCUGAGAGGAUGACCAGCCACACUGGAACUGAGACACGGUCCAGACUCCUACGGGAGGCAGCAGUGGGGAAUAUUGCACAAUGGGCGCAAGCCUGAUGCAGCCAUGCCGCGUGUGUGAAGAAGGCCUUCGGGUUGUAAAGCACUUUCAGCGGGGAGGAAGGCGGUGAGGUUAAUAACCUCAUCGAUUGACGUUACCCGCAGAAGAAGCACCGGCUAACUCCGUGCCAGCAGCCGCGGUAAUACGGAGGGUGCAAGCGUUAAUCGGAAUUACUGGGCGUAAAGCGCACGCAGGCGGUCUGUCAAGUCGGAUGUGAAAUCCCCGGGCUCAACCUGGGAACUGCAUUCGAAACUGGCAGGCUAGAGUCUUGUAGAGGGGGGGGUAGAAUUCCAGGUGUAGCGGUGAAAUGCGUAGAGAUCUGGAGGAAUACCGGUGGCGAAGGCGGCCCCCUGGACAAAGACUGACGCUCAGGUGCGAAAGCGUGGGGAGCAAACAGGAUUAGAUACCCUGGUAGUCCACGCUGUAAACGAUGUCGAUUUGGAGGUUGUGCCCUUGAGGCGUGGCUUCCGGAGCUAACGCGUUAAAUCGACCGCCUGGGGAGUACGGCCGCAAGGUUAAAACUCAAAUGAAUUGACGGGGGCCCGCACAAGCGGUGGAGCAUGUGGUUUAAUUCGAUGCAACGCGAAGAACCUUACCUGGUCUUGACAUCCACAGAACUUUCCAGAGAUGGUUUGGUGCCUUCGGGAACUGUGAGACAGGUGCUGCAUGGCUGUCGUCAGCUCGUGUUGUGAAAUGUUGGGUUAAGUCCCGCAACGAGCGCAACCCUUAUCCUUUGUUGCCAGCGGUUAGGCCGGGAACUCAAAGGAGACUGCCAGUGAUAAACUGGAGGAAGGUGGGGAUGACGUCAAGUCAUCAUGGCCCUUACGACCAGGGCUACACACGUGCUACAAUGGCAUAUACAAAGAGAAGCGACCUCGCGAGAGCAAGCGGACCUCAUAAAGUAUGUCGUAGUCCGGAUUGGAGUCUGCAACUCGACUCCAUGAAGUCGGAAUCGCUAGUAAUCGUAGAUCAGAAUGCUACGGUGAAUACGUUCCCGGGCCUUGUACACACCGCCCGUCACACCAUGGGAGUGGGUUGCAAAAGAAGUAGGUAGCUUAACCUUCGGGAGGGCGCUUACCAC
rnacentral:rRNA from 1 species